AGUACUCGAGUGGCGAACGGGUGAGUAACACGUGGGUAAUCUGCCCUGCAUUCUGGGAUAAGCCUGGGAAACUGGGUCUAAUACUGGAUAUGACCUUCCUCCUUAUGGGGUUUGGUGGAAAGUUUUUCGGUGUAGGAUGAGCCCGCGGCCUACCAGCUUGUUGGUGGGGUGAUGGCCUACCAAGGCGACGACGGGUAGCCGGCCUGAGAGGGUGAUCGGCCACAUUGGGACUGAGAUACGGCCCAG
rnacentral:rRNA from 1 species